AACACCGCUCAAGAAGGCGGGUGAGGGGCUCCAGGCGCCCUCCGGAUGGACCAAUAAGGUAGCACGCUUUCCCUGCCUGCUCCAGCUAAAUCUAGGUAGGAUCCCCCACUGGUCGUGUGGGUGCGCCUGUUGACUUUUUGUUCCGCGGAGUUCCAGGUCGGGUUGUUGCAUCUGAAGCUUAGUUAGGGAUUGUAGUUCCUUUGCCUGCGAUUACUAGUGUUUUUGUUAUUCGUUUAGCUAGGGUUCAUAGUUCACGAUCUGUUUAGCAAGCGACAUUUCCUGGUUAGGGUUUGUAGUUCCUUAGCCUGUGAUUUCUAGUAUUGUUGCUAUUCGUUUAGCUAGGGUUUGCAGUUCACGAUCUGUUUAGCUAGCAAUGGAUGCACGACUUUGAUGUGAACUUGGCAGGAUUUGUGAUACCGAGUCUAUGUGCAGUUAGCUUAGGGUUCAUAAGCCCUAUUGGCAGAGGUUUAGGGUUCUGAGUUUGACUAUAGCUAUGUUUAGGUUGUAUUGCAUUCUUUUGGUACAAGGUGAUGAGCGUUCAACAUUACUGAAGCUGUAUGAAUUGUGAUGUUUGAGCUUUUGAUUCAGUCAUAUCUACUAGUACUCCCUCCAAUCCAUAUUACUUGUCACUCAAACGGAUGUAUCUUGGCGUAUUUCAAUGCUAAAUACAUUUGUUUGAGCGACGAAUAAUAUUUGUCUGGGUUUAACUUCAUGCUGAAAUUGUGAAGAGUGAUAUUUGCAGUCAGCAGGGACCCCGAAGACACAUUUGUCAGGGUUUAACUUCAUGCUAAAAUUGUGAAGGUUGUCGAAGGUCUGCUGGAGGUCGGUGAGUUGGAUUGAUCCUUGAAUUUCACUACGAUGUCGUCGAGGUACACCUCCACAUUUACUCUGAUCUAUUUGUUGAAACACUUCUGCAUCCUCCGCUGGUACGUAGCCCCCGCGUUUUUGAGGCCGAACGGAUCGUGAUGUAGUAGAAGGGUCCAAGGGGCGGACCGG
rnacentral:lncRNA from 1 species